UUGCCUUAAUCUUUUGCAUCUGAUGGGAGUAUUAAAAUCUUCUACCUCUCACACGGUUCCAGUGAAGCCUAGUGAUAAAUAMAUAAGUCUGGCAGAAGCCCUCUCAUGCAUUGAAACCGAAUACCAGCUGCUUUAUCUCACUCUUUGAAAGGUAUCUAAUAAAUGUCCCAUCCUUGUACAUCAUUUCUCACCUGAGGAAUCCUGGUGACUUCAGCAGAUUUACUGAGUAAGGAAGGAUUUGAGGAAUAAGAGCUAAAGAUUUAUUAUAAGGCUUAACUAUGUGAUAUUGCUUGAAUAUUUUUCAGUGGUGAUUUAUUUUUACAGCAGGAAAACCAGGGAAAUGAGAUCCCUUUUGAGCCAUCUGUCCCCUUGGUUUUACAUGUUCAGUAUCUGCCUGGCUUGUAGCUGUAAUGUUUUCUUUCUUUCUUUUUUUUUUCUUUUUCUUUUUUUCUCCCCUCCUCCCCUUGCUCUCAGAACAAGAGGAAACACGCUCGUUCUGCCACUAACCUUUGUGCUGAACUUCCUUUGCGUUUCCUGGGAAGGCUGUGCCAAGGGCCUUAGCAGGGUUCCAACUCCCCAGCCUAUGUCCUGGACAAAAAGGGAGGAUGUGGAGAAGCAGCCGUUACAGACUGAGGGCUCAAUCCAGCGGGGAGCUGUUGAAGAGUUCAGAAGUGCAUGACAGUAUGGAUUUUUGUGCAGGUAGGGAUUCAAAACAGACCAGGCAUUCGUCAGAAAGGGGAGGUGUACAGAAAGGAUAACGAAGUUAGUAGGAAGUGGAAUUUGUGGGAAGGCUGCUUUCUAGCUCCUCUGUAACACAAGGGUGACCAUGCUGCCUCAAAGGAGCUUGUGAGGAGGCCACAACUGUGGGGUGUCAUUGUGCCUUUGCGGAAGAAAGCAGGYUCAUACCUGCUGCAACAAAUUGCAGUGCUCUGCCUCAAAACUUAAUGGGGCUGAGAGGGCACUGGGGGGAGAGGGGGGGAGGCACUUUUUUAUCCCAGUGCAAAGGAAUCGUGUCUCAUUUGUUGUGGACUGUCAUCCUGAUCCCAGCACAUCAGGAGAAGUGGUGUCUUCCUGUUGCCAUGCUUUGGCAGGGGCUAUUAUAGCCAAAAGCCUGUGUAGCGGGUGCUGCACGGAUUUCUUGUGACAUGCCUGGGGCAUGCCCUAGGACAGUGGUGGCUACUGUGACACCACUGACCUGUGGUUCGUGUCAUCGGUGCUGCACAGUCCACGACUGCUUGCUUGCAGCGUCGCCCUGACUCGGUGCAGCCCAGAGAGCAGGACCGCUUGUUCCCCGGCAGGUCCUCGAYGGUUACCUCCUGCGGGCUGUCGAGAGGUGAGUUGUCCCGGCGCUGUCACAGCCACAGUGUGGCUGUCCCCUGUGGAGAAUGGGCUUCAUCUCCCGGCUUCUGUGAUGAUGUCCCUUUGUCCCUGAUAUGACGAGUUGCUGUUCCUUCACAGUGGCUCCUGCACCCUGGGGAACAAMGUUUCGUCCUGAGGCCUUUGAGCAAUGGCCAGCUCGUGGGGACCUUUGUAGGGCCUGGUGAUGGGCAGCAGCAGGUGUGCGAU
rnacentral:lncRNA from 1 species